rnacentral:rRNA from 1 species
GACGAAGGGGGCUAGCGUUGCUCGGAAUCACUGGGCGUAAAGGGUGCGUAGGCGGGUCUUUAAGUCAGGGGUGAAAUCCUGGAGCUCAACUCCAGAACUGCCUUUGAUACUGAGGAUCUUGAGUUCGGGAGAGGUGAGUGGAACUGCGAGUGUAGAGGUGAAAUUCGUAGAUAUUCGCAAGAACACCAGUGGCGAAGGCGGCUCACUGGCCCGAUACUGACGCUGAUGCACGAAAGCGUGGGGAGCAAACAGG